rnacentral:rRNA from 1 species
AUUGAACGCUGGCGGCAGGCCUAACACAUGCAAGUCGAGCGAACCUAGCUUGCUAGGUGAGCGGCGAACGGGUGAGUAACGCGUAGGAAUCUGCCUGGUAGUGGGGGACAACGUUCCGAAAGGAACGCUAAUACCGCAUACGCCCUACGGGGGAAAGCAGGGGAUCUUCGGACCUUGCGCUAUCAGAUGAGCCUGCGUCGGAUUAGCUAGUUGGUGGGGUAAAGGCCUACCAAGGCGACGAUCCGUAACUGGUCUGAGAGGAUGAUCAGUCACACCGGAACUGAGACACGGUCCGGACUCCUACGGGAGGCAGCAGUGGGGAAUAUUGGACAAUGGGGGCAACCCUGAUCCAGCCAUGCCGCGUGUGUGAAGAAGGCCUUCGGGUUGUAAAGCACUUUAGGUCGGGAGGAAGGUUCGCUGGCUAAUAUCCAGCGGAAUUGACGUUACCGACAGAAUAAGCACCGGCUAACUCCGUGCCAGCAGCCGCGGUAAUACGGAGGGUGCGAGCGUUAAUCGGAAUUACUGGGCGUAAAGCGCGCGUAGGCGGCUUGAUAAAUCGGGUGUGAAAUCCCUGGGCUUAACCUGGGAACUGCAUCCGACACUGUCAGGCUAGAGUGUGGGAGAGGGUGACGGAAUUCCCGGUGUAGCGGUGAAAUGCGUAGAUAUCGGGAGGAACAUCAGUGGCGAAGGCGGUUGCCUGGCCCAACACUGACGCUGAGGUGCGAAAGCGUGGGUAGCAAACAGGAUUAGAUACCCUGGUAGUCCACGCCGUAAACGAUGUCGACUAGCCGUUGGGAACCUUAGAGUUUCUUGUGGCGCAGCUAACGCGAUAAGUCGACCGCCUGGGGAGUACGGCCGCAAGGUUAAAACUCAAAUGAAUUGACGGGGGCCCGCACAAGCGGUGGAGCAUGUGGUUUAAUUCGAUGCAACGCGAAGAACCUUACCACCCCUUGACAUCCUGCGAACUUUCUAGAGAUAGAUUGGUGCCUUCGGGAACGCAGAGACAGGUGCUGCAUGGCUGUCGUCAGCUCGUGUUGUGAAAUGUUGGGUUAAGUCCCGUAACGAGCGCAACCCUUGUCCUUAGUUGCCAGCGAGUAAUGUCGGGAACUCUAAGGAGACUGCCGGUGACAAACCGGAGGAAGGUGGGGACGACGUCAAGUCAUCAUGGCCCUUACGGGGUGGGCUACACACGUGCUACAAUGGCCGGUACAGACGGUUGCAAACCCGCGAGGGGGAGCCAAUCCGAGAAAACCGGUCGUAGUCCGGAUUGCAGUCUGCAACUCGACUGCAUGAAGUCGGAAUCGCUAGUAAUCGCGGAUCAGAAUGCCGCGGUGAAUACGUUCCCGGGCCUUGUACACACCGCC